rnacentral:rRNA from 1 species
GACGAACGCUGGCGGCGUGCUUAACACAUGCAAGUCGAACGAAGUGGCGAACGGGUGAGUAACGCGUAAUCAACCUGCCCUUCAGAGGGGGACAACAGUUGGAAACGACUGCUAAUACCGCCUACUGACGGAGGGGCCUGAGUCUGAUUAGUUAGUUGGAGGGGGAAAGGCCCCCCAAGGCGAGGAUCAGUAGCCGGGCUGAGAUGAUGAACGGCCACAGCUGGACUGAGAAACGGCCCAGACUCCUACGGGGGGCAGCAGUGGGGAAUUUGUCGCAAUGGACGAAAGGCUGAAGGAGCAACGCCGCGUGAGUGAUGACGGCCUUCGGGUUGUAAAGAUCUGUUAAUCGGGACGCGGUACCGGAAUAGAAAGCCACGGCUAACUACGUGCCAGCAGCCGCGGUAAUAC